AGUGAACGCUGGCGGUAGGCCUAACACAUGCAAGUCGAACGGCAGCACAGUAAGAGCUUGCUCUUACGGGUGGCGAGUGGCGGACGGGUGAGGAAUACAUCGGAAUCUACUUUUUCGUGGGGGAUAACGUAGGGAAACUUACGCUAAUACCGCAUACGACCUACGGGUGAAAGCAGGGGAUCUUCGGACCUUGCGCGAUUGAAUGAGCCGAUGUCGGAUUAGCUAGUUGGCGGGGUAAAGGCCCACCAAGGCGACGAUCCGUAGCUGGUCUGGGAGGAUGAUCGGCCACCCUGGAACUUGGACACGGUCCAGAGUCCUACGGGAGGCACCAGUGGGGAAUAUUGGACAAUGGGCGCAAGCCUGAUCCAGCCAUACCGCGUGGGUGAAGAAGGCCUUCGGGUUGUAAAGCCCUUUUGUUGGGAAAGAAAAGCAGCAGGUUAAUACCCCGCUGUUCUGACGGUACCCAAAGAAUAAGCACCGGCUAACUUCGUG
rnacentral:rRNA from 1 species